UCUCCGUUGGUGAACCAGCGGAGGGAUCAUUACAGGACUCGCAAGACUCCUACAACCCUGUGAACUUAACUAUAAGCACGUUGCUUCGGCGGGUGUCUCGGGGGGGGUUAACCCUCCCCGUGACGCUAAACCCGCCGGCGGCCUACUAUACUCUGUCUCUUUGCGUUGGCAUCUCGAGUACAAUCAAACAAGUUAAAACUUUCAACAACGGAUCUCUUGGUUCUG
rnacentral:misc_RNA from 1 species